rnacentral:rRNA from 1 species
UACGUAGGUGGCAAGCGUUGUCCGGAUUUACUGGGCGUAAAGAGCGCGUAGGCGGUCGAUCAAGUCGCGUGUGAAAGCCCCCGGCUCAACUGGGGAGGGUCACGCGAUACUGAUCGACUCGAAGGCAGGAGAGGGUAGUGGAAUUCCCGGUGUAGUGGUGAAAUGCGUAGAUAUCGGGAGGAACACCAGUGGCGAAGGCGACUACCUGGCCUGUUCUUGACGCUGAGGCGCGAAAGCUAGGGGAGCAAACGGG